rnacentral:lncRNA from 1 species
ACAAUUCGUUUUUGGCCAGGACAGAUUCAGCCUACAAGACUCUGCAGGUGAAGCUUUGCUAUGCACCCAUCAGCCAACAGGACAGGGCCUGGAGAAAAACAGAGGACAAUUUAGUCAGGGACAAAACCUGCCAACACAAGAUUGUUGCAAAGCCAUACAGAUCCUCGACCUCUCACAACAAUUUUACUUGGAAAGUGCAAAGGGAUGUGCCAACUGGAACGUACUUUGUCCGGGCAUAUGCUUACAACUCUGCAGACGAAGAGGUUGCCUACGGCCAGACCACAGACGCUAAUAAGACUACUAAUUUAUUCCAAGUCGAGGCAAUCAGUGGACGUCAUGUCUCGCUAGAUAUUACCUCGAUUUGCUUCUCGGCUUUUGCAGUCGUGUCUUUGUUUGGGUUCUUCUUGUUGGAGAAGAGAAGAACCAAAAACUCCCAAGAAAAGUGAUGCGACCUUUGAGUACUAUAUUUUUUCCUUUUUUUAAUCAGCAUUCUGCACUAGAAAACUUCUAUUACAUCAUGAUGGUAAUUUGCUUAUUUAUGGAAGUGUUAUUUGCUAAAUGUAACAUCUCCAGAUAAGCAUUUCAGCUUUUAUUAGAUCUGGAUUGAUAAUCCAUGAAUAGCUAACCAAGUGGGGGUGAAUUGGUUUUUAAGACUUCUUCAAAAAAUAAACAUAAAUCAAGUAAGCAAAGAAUAUGUUGGUCAAUUAAUAAUUAUAAACAAGAGAAAGCAAUUAGAACAAUCAAAUAAUAUAUAUAAAUAAGGUAACAAUAAGUAAAAGGAUAGAGAGAAUGCAAACGAUAUAAUUAUGGAGGUUCGAUCCAAAUCAAUUGUCUACAUCUCCCGUUACCAAGCUCUAUGGCACGAGCAAGGCCUUUUUCAUUAUAUUGAUUGACUUAGAGUGCAAUCUAACCCUUUAUAGGUGACUUACAAUCAAGGAACACCGGUCAUUAUAAAAUAUAGAGCUUUGUGGGACCUCUAUAUAAUUGACAAAUACCAAGAAAAAAGUAGAUUAACACUUUAAUAAGUAGCAAUGAAUAAAUCUCAAGUGUUAGGUAAUAAAAACCUUGAUAAGUAGAAUGAUUUUCAAAAAUUAAUUCAAUCAA